rnacentral:rRNA from 1 species
GACGAACGCUGGCGGCGUGCCUAAUACAUGCAAGUAGAACGCUGAAGGAGGAGCUUGCUUCUCCGGAUGAGUUGCGAACGGGUGAGUAACGCGUAGGUAACCUGCCUGGUAGCGGGGGAUAACUAUUGGAAACGAUAGCUAAUACCGCAUAAGAGUAGAUGUUGCAUGACAUUUGCUUAAAAGGUGCAAUUGCAUCACUACCAGAUGGACCUGCGUUGUAUUAGCUAGUUGGUGAGGUAACGGCUCACCAAGGCGACGAUACAUAGCCGACCUGAGAGGGUGAUCGGCCACACUGGGACUGAGACACGGCCCAGACUCCUACGGGAGGCAGCAGUAGGGAAUCUUCGGCAAUGGACGGAAGUCUGACCGAGCAACGCCGCGUGAGUGAAGAAGGUUGUCGGAUCGUAAAGCUCUGUUGUAAGAGAAGAACGAGUGUGAGAGUGGAAAGUUCACACUGUGACGGUAUCUUACCAGAAAGGGACGGCUAACUACGUG